rnacentral:other from 1 species
GGUUCCCUGGGGUGCGCGUGAUUAACCAAUUAGCCCGCCGAGCCAACAGCGAGACCAAGGGGAGGCUCCUCUCCUUCCGGAGGUAUGCUCCGCUUCGGCGGAGAAACCGCAAGGAAGGACGAGCCGCCCACUUAAAAAGUGAGGGUCUCGUGCGGGCCGGUUAACACGGCACCCUGGGGCUUAA